rnacentral:rRNA from 1 species
UCUGGCGGCAGUAGCGCGGUGGUCCCACCUGACCCCAUGCCGAACUCAGAAGUGAAACGCUGUAGCGCCGAUGGUAGUGUGGGGUCUCCCCAUGCGAGAGUAGGGAACUGCCAGGC